AAAUGAAUAGACGGGGGCCCGCACAAGCGGUGGAGCAUGUGGUUUAAUUCGACGCAACGCGAAGAACCUUACCAAGGCUUGACAUCCCGAUGUAACAUGCAGAAAUGUAUGCCUCCUUUCGGGGACAUCGGUGACAGGUGGUGCAUGGUUGUCGUCAGCUCGUGUCGUGAGAUGUUGGGUUAAGUCCCGCAACGAGCGCAACCCCUAUGUUUAGUAGCCAGCGGGUAAUGCCGGGCACACUAGAGAGACUGCCGUGGAGAACACGGAGGAAGGUGGGGACGACGUCAAAUCAUCAUGCCCCUUAUGUCUUGGGCUACACACGUGCUACAAUGGGUGCAACAAAGUGAAGCAAGGGCGUGAGCCGGAGCAAAACACGAAAAGCAUCCUCAGUUCGGAUUGCAGUCUGCAACUCGAGUGCAUGAAGUUGGAAUCGCUAGUAAUCGCGAAUCAGCAUGUCGCGGUGAAUACGUUCCCGGGCCUUGUACACACCGCCCGU
rnacentral:rRNA from 1 species